rnacentral:rRNA from 1 species
AGCGAACGCUGGCGGCAGGCUUAACACAUGCAAGUCGAGCGGGCAUCCUUGUGGUGUCAGCGGCAGACGGGUGAGUAACGCGUGGGAACGUGCCCUUCGGUUCGGAAUAACUCAGGGAAACUUGAGCUAAUACCGGAUACGUGCGAGAGCAGAAAGGUUUAUCUGCCGAAGGAUCGGCCCGCGUCUGAUUAGCUAGUUGGUGAGGUUAUGGCUCACCAAGGCGACGAUCAGUAGCUGGUCUGAGAGGAUGAUCAGCCACACUGGGACUGAGACACGGCCCAGACUCCUACGGGAGGCAGCAGUGGGGAAUAUUGGACAAUGGGGGCAACCCUGAUCCAGCCAUGCUGCGUGAGUGAUGACGGCCUUAGGGUUGUAAAGCUCUUUUCUUCGGGACGAUAAUGACGGUACCGGAGGAAUAAGCCCCGGCUAACUUCGUG